GGGAGAGACAGCAGUGAGCAGGAGCGGGACCCAGGGGCCACAGCAGAUGUCAGCAAUGCCUCUCUUACCCUUCUGCUCUGUCAGGGCCCAGCCCUGGGAGCUCCUGCCCCACUCAGGCACAUGCAGAAGCCCAGCUUCUCUCUUCUGGAGCAGAAAGGGACCCCACGUCAUCCUGUGCCAGAGAUGGGGCAUCCUAAGGCUCAAAGCCAAGGUCCUUUACCAGGGGAGCAGGAGCAGUUGGGGUCCAUGCGGAGAUGAGGAAACGGAGACUCAGAGUUGAGCGACUCAUUCACAAUUUGCAGCAGGCAGUGCCAUACUGAUCUGUGAACCAGGACUGCUUGAUACCAACAUGCGCUCACAGGCUGGCUCCCGAAAUCCCCUCUUCACACAGGGCACCUGUGGGGCACAGACUGUGGUGUGCACGGUUAUAAAUCUCCAGUGCUGAUCACAGUUUUGUGAGAAAUGUGAAAGACUUUUUGGACCACAGGUCACGUGCUCAAGUGGUGGAUGAGGACAACACAGGACACACAGCUAGGCACACCAGCACUGCUUCUUUGUCUCAAGGUAAAUAAAUACCCCCAUAUGUUAUGUAUAAUAAUAAUAACAAUAAUAAUAACCAAUAGCUAACAUUAAAGACCACUCACCAGGCCAUGCUGAGUUCUUUACAUGUAUUAACUCUUUAAUCCCAUGAGCCAUAUACAUUCAUUUUGCCCUUUAACAAGUGGAAGAGACUGAGCCACAGAGAGGUUAUGUCACGUGGCUGUAAGUGACACAGGUGGGACUGGCAUUCAUUCAGGCAGACGGCAGCAAUGUGCCUGCCCCCGCCCCCCGGGGCACCAUGCCAACACAUGAAAGGUGAGGACAUUGAACACCUGGCACAGAGGGAACAGUGGAAGAGCACUGAGCAAGCAGUCAGCAUAGCUCUGUGACCUCUCUGGGAUUCAGUUUCCCAUGUGUCAUGCCAGGAGCACAAUUGAUCCAUCUCAAAAGGUCCUUCUAACUCUGAAUACUGAGAGGCAGGACUUAGUAUCCAGUGCCAUCAUGAUUUGCCAGCCGUGGCCAGGGGGUACGUUCAGCUGUAGUGGAGGAUCAGACCUCUGGCCUCCAAGCUGUGUGACUUUAACCUCUCUGGAACUGGCACAGUCACUCUAGCCCCUGCAUGUCACUCUCUCACUGGCUCCUGUGCAGCUCAAAUGACACAAACAUGGGAAAGGCUUCUGAAUCUCUCCUAAUGCUGUGGCAGUGUCUUGUCCCAGGGAGCUCAUUGCAAGUCACCCAAACUUCGUUGGUACCGGAUCAGCAAAUUUCCAGUCCCUAUCCUUAACCUCCCACCCAAAGUAAUGCUUCCAAACCAGUGAGCAUUUCUCCAGGAGCUCGCUGGGAGCUGAAAGGAUUCCCUCUCCCGACAGCCAGUGGGGACAUAGUGAUCGUCAUGGCCAUUGCUUAUUAAGCCAGGAGCCAGGACACUGUCCUUUAAUCCCCACAUAGAGAUAUACUCUCCUUUUCACAAAUGGACGCAGGUUCAAUCCCUGGCCUUGCUCAGUGGGCUAAGGAUCCAGCGUUGCCCUGAACU